GAGUGCCGUGUCGUGUUUGUCAUCCUUCCAGAGAGCUGCGUCUACCAUUCACUUGGCCGGACGUACGCGAUCUGGAUCGAUUACUUUGAAAAAAUUAGAGUGUUUAAAGCAGGCUUACGCUGUGAAUACAUUAGCAUGGAAUAAUAAUUUAGGACUUCGGUUCUAUUUUGUUGGUUUCUAGGACUGAAGUAAUGAUUGAUAGGGACAGUUGGGGGUGCUAGUAUUCCGCGGCCAGAGGUGAAAUUCUUGGAUUCGCGGAAGACUAACUACUGCGAAAGCAUUCACCAAGGAUGUCUUCUUUAAUCAAGAACGAAAGUUGGGGGAUCGAAGACGAUCAGAUACCGUCGUAGUCUCAACCAUAAACUAUACCGACUAAGGAUCAGUGAACGUUGAUUUACGACUUCAUUGGCACUUUGUGAGAAAUCAAAGUCUUUGGGUUCCGGGGGGAGUAUGGUCGCAAGGCUGAAACUUAAAGGAAUUGACGGAAGGGCACCACCAGGAGUGGAGCCUGCGGCUUAAUUUGACUCAACACGGGAAAACUUACCAGGUCCAGACAUAGUGAGGAUUGACAGAUUGAAGAUCUUUCUUGAUUCUAUGGGGUGGUGGUGCAUGGCCGUUCUUAGUUGGUGGAGUGAUUUUGUCUGGUUAAUUCCGUUAACGAACGAGACCUCGACCUGCUAAAUAGUACCAGUUAUUCAUUGGGAUAAUCUGGGCACUUCUUAGAGGGACUAUCGGG
rnacentral:rRNA from 1 species